CACACCUCUGUAGCGCCGAGUUCGCAGACAACAAAAUCAUAUUUGCUUCCACUCAGACCCAAUUAUUGCCGGUCAGUACUUACAAAAUCACCUUGAGGAUAUGGAAGAAUGGUACUCGAAAUGGAAGUUUAAAGUUAACAAUGAAAAAUGCUCCCAUAUUACUUUUACGUUAAAAAAAGGCACUGUUCCUCCGUUAUCGCUAUCCAAUAAAAUCCAUCGGCCUCUAAUGUCUGUUACUUAGGAUUAAUACUAGACAAACGUCUUACCUGGGCCGAAUGUGUAAAACAAAAAAAUCUUUUGUUGAAUUCAAGACGUAAAUCUCAUUAUCUUCUAGGCAAACACUCCAAAAUUACUCUAAAAAAUAAACUACUGUUAUACAACUCUUCUAAAACCAAUUCGGUCUUACGGGAUUCAAUUAUGGGGCACAGCAAAAAAAUCGAAUAUCUAUAAAAUACAAACUUUUCAAUCCAUUACACAACGAAUCAUCACCAAAACUCCCUUCUACGUCUCCAACCAAUCCUUACAUACUGAUUGAAGGUUCCAACUAUCUCCGAAGUAGCCACUUUAUCUUACAAAAUCUUUCGUGCACUCCUCGCAAAUCAUCCAAAUCCCCUAAUACUUGCCCUUAAUUCUGAUAUUAAUCCCCCGAGAAGACUAAAGAGAAACUAGUGUCGAGAUUUAGCUUAAAGUAGAAAAAAAAAAAAAUUAAUCAAGCCAAAAGUGUUAUCGCUGGGAGCUUCUUUAAGUCAAGUCACUCAUGUCAUCUUUAAAAAUAUCAAACAUGUACACU